GAAUAAAACAGUACACUUGGUUAAGUGGAAACUGGUAGUGCAGAAUUGAAUGGAAUGUUUUUUAGUGGCACACAAGAUGAAGUACUACACAGUUGAGACUGGCAAUACUUUGGAUUCUCACAUUCAGUUUAUGAGACGACUCAACAACACCACAAGAUGUUUUACGGAAGUCAAGUCUCCAGAGGAGAGUGAUGUCAUCAUGGCUUUCUGUCCCAUCGUCUCUCGCGCCGGGACUGAUAUUGAAGCAGCACUGCAACAGAUUCCAAAGGGUAAAGAUGUCAUUCUGGUAGUGCUGCAUCACACCUUCAACCCAGACGACACUGUACCUUACAGCAGCAGACUAGUGACCAGAAGUGAUGUAAUACUCACAGUGGACUGUCUGUUCCAUGAGAGACUGGGAGGACUACUGGACUGUCCUCGCAAUGAUGCAGCAGUCAGAAAUAUUAGGCAGAAGUUUGACACAGUGGACUGUCUGUUCCAUGAGAGCCAGGGACUACUGGACUGUUCUCGCAAUGAUGCAGUAGUCAAAAAGAUUAAGCAGAAGCUUGACAUGACCAGAAGUUGUGGCUUCCCAGCUUGGAUUCUAAACGGUGUCAUGUGGGCAGUGUCUUCAGGCUACAACUACGUUUUCAUUCACAAUACACGUCCCUCUACAAGGCCUCGUUCUGGCAAUCUAUCUGUGAUUUGGAGCAAUAUAAUGUGCACAGUGUAUUCAGUCUACAGCUACCUCUGUACACGGCUUUCAUAUGUGAAGGCGCGCUUCUGGGACAAUAAUUAGGUUCCAGUAGGUUCAAAAUCCACAUCCCUCUUCAAGACCUCGUUCCAGAAGUGAUGAAAGCAGUUCCACUUUUGUACCAACAAUGAAGACAUGCUAAUAGUUUUUAUGGAUUCCAUCUUUAAUUCAUGGUCUACUUAAGAAAAUGUCUUUACUUUUGAUGGUAAGAGCACUUGCAGGUGUAAUGUAUAGAAAUUGGGGCCGAUAUUAAAAAUGUUAAUAAAAAUGAAUGGAAAAUAAUAAAGAAGAAACAGGAUCUGUGGAAGGGGAUGCAUCUCAACAUCACUGCUAGUUUGCACAUACAUCAUACUUCUGACACCAGUGUAGCAAACAGUGGGGGUAACCUGGGUUGCUUGACGCAAGAAAAACUUGCUAGCCACAAACUCAAUAGGGAUAGCUUUCUCUUUUCGAGGAGUUUGGAACAGGCAUACAAAGGCUUGACUUUUUCCAAUAGUUCGAUGACUAAGCUGAGCUAAGCUAAACAUUUUUUGUUCAUUUUUUU
ensembl:lncRNA